GACGAACGCUGGCGGCGUGCUUAACACAUGCAAGUCGAACGGAAAGGCCCUGCUUUUGUGGGGUGCUCGAGUGGCGAACGGGUGAGUAACACGUGAGUAACCUACCCUUGACUUUGGGAUAACUUCAGGAAACUGGGGCUAAUACCAGAUAGGAGCUCCUCCUGCAGGGUGGGGGUUGGAAAGUUUCGGCGGUUGGGGAUGGACUCGCGGCUUAUCGGCUUGUUGGUUGGGUAGUGGCUUACCAAGGGUUUGACGGGUAGCCGGCAUGGGAGGGUGACCGGCCACAUUGGGACUGAGAUACGGCCCAGACUCCUACGGGAGGCAGCAGUGGGGAAUAUGGCACAAUGGGCGGACGCCUGAUGCAGCAACGCUGCGUGCGGGAUGACGGCCUUCGGGUUGUAAACCGCUUUCGCCUGUGACGAAGCGUGAGUGACGGUACUGGGUAAAGAAGCACCGGCUAACUACGUG
rnacentral:rRNA from 1 species